AAUCAGACUUUUGUACAAUAUAUUAAUCUGAACAUGACAUUAUUACUUUUAGCAUGCAAAUCCUUGAAAACAAAGAAACCAAACAACGUGUAGACAACUCAGCAGAAGUGAACACUGAAAGGAUGAAGGCUGGAUUCUGGUUGAAAUUGAAACUUUGGCUACAUUACAGUUAAGAUAUUUUCCGCUGUGCUUUUACCUGCACAUACAACUGAUUGAAGAUCUUAUCAUACAGUUUUUAAUGAAUGGUGUCAGCAUCAGGAACUGUGAUGGACACUUCAAGUUUAUGUUGAGACAAAAAUUAGAAGCAACCACAAUUAGAAUGUAGAAAACACUUUAUAUUAUGAUUAUAGUUCAGGCAGCUGCAUACUAUCAAAUCUAUUGUGGAGGAAAAAAAAACUUUUAUAUGAAAUUAGAUCAAUAAUUAAAGGUUGAAGUUAUUGGGGAAGAAGAAAAAACUUACAUCAAACUCAAUCAGGGCUAAUCAAAUUCCGUAAGGAUAAAGCUGAACGCCAUACUGCUCCUUAUCCUUGAAUUCCCGUAGCUUUUGUCUCAGCUCUGGCUGAGGCCACCAGCAAUCGAAUUUGUUUAAGCUCUUUAUGCA
rnacentral:lncRNA from 1 species